rnacentral:lncRNA from 1 species
GAAUGUGAUUUGCUUUUGUGGCACUGGUACCUACUAUCGCGUCUCUAGGACUGAAGCUAACCCUGGCCGAUGAUUCUCGUGUUGUGCAACUCGAAUGAGGCUUCGGGAGGCCAAGUCGGGAAGAACUCUCGUCUCAAAGGAAAGCUAUAAGGUAGAGAUUGUGAUGAAAGACAGUGGAAAAUAGAGUGAAGAGGAGGGGAUUGAAUUGGUGGAAGCGAAUCUGGUGGAGCGUCGGUGAUAAAUGCUGCUACAAGUCAUCUAUCUAAAUCCAACGGUGAACAAAGUGUCUUCAAAAUUGCCCACGAUAGCCUCUCAUCUCUUCUUCCAUGUAGCUGCUUCUAUCAUCCUACUUUAACUUAGUGCUUUUCGACUUGGGUGUGUGAAACAUGUGAAUUGGACCUAGUUGGUUUAGGGGCUUCAAUUUAUAAGGUGGUGGUAAUGGUUGUGAAUGAUUAGUUUGUUUUUGUGUGGUGGUUUUGAUUUUUGAACAAUCAAGUGGCGUUUGUGUGUGUCGUGAACGAUGGAGUGUUGGUUGGAUUGUGUGGUUGGGGCAGAUAAUCGAAUAUUAUGGUGUUGUAGUUUCUGUCAAAUUCAUUAUGAGAGUUCUAUUCGAAGUUGAAAAUAGGGCAGGUAUUAUUGAGUAAUACAUAUAACAGGAAGUGAAAACAAAAUUAUGCAUUUACCCUCCUCAUGUGCCUUGGCUAUUAAACGAACAUCUAUAUAAAAGAUUAUUGGUGU